UACGUAGGGGGCAAGCGUUGUCCGGAAUCAUUGGGCGUAAAGAGCGUGUAGGCGGCCCGGUAAGUCCGCUGUGAAAGUCCAGGGCUCAACCCUGGGAUGCCGGUGGAUACUGUCGGGCUCGAGUCCGGAAGAGGAGUGUGGAAUUCCUGGUGUAGCGGUGAAAUGCGCAGAUAUCAGGAGGAACACCGGUGGCGAAGGCGGGAUCCUGGGCCAGUACUGACGCUGAGGAGCGAAAGCGUGGGGAGCGAACAGG
rnacentral:rRNA from 1 species